CUGGCCAAUCCCUGUGCAGAAAAUAAACUAACCAAUCACAGUUGACUCUGCCCCCUAGACAUUCUAUAUCAACCGCCCUUCCCAGUCAGUUGUGAGCUGUUCUCUCCACUCUGGUAGAGGCAGCUACUCUCCUGAACUCCUCCUUCCCAAAUAAACCUCUUUCUCAAAAGAGUUUUGGGCGAAGACCUUCAUUGACUGGUGAACAGAAGAACCUUGCUGGGAUGUCUUAUAGUGGAACAGGCUAGGGGGAGCUGAAGAGAAGAACCUUGCAGGGACUUCCAGUAGUGGACUGACAAAGAAAGAGCUGGUAACACUGAUCCUGAGAUUGUGGCAAUCCAGGAUAGGAGCAGGAUUGCUGUGUCCUGUGGGAAGAUUGUACUCCAUCACACCAGGUAUAUCCUGACAUUCCUGAAGAGACAGGAUACCCUUCCUUGCUGAAGUAGUUCCAGGCCUGACUCUCCAGAGAGCUAUCAGUUAUUACGUCAAGAGAAUACAGGUCCAUUGCAUUUUUGAUCUUCUUUAAAGUGGAGAUUUUAUUACCAGGAGAAAAGCUGUUUUUCACUUUCCUGCAAUGGAAAGGUAGAAGAUGAACUUCCAGCUAUCAGUUAUUACCUCAUCUAGGGAAGACGGGUCCAUCUCACAUUUGAUGUUCUUUAAAGUGGAGACCUCAGUACUGGAGAAAAUCAGUUUCUCACUUUUCUGCAAUGGAAAGGUAGAGGAUGAA